GACGAACGCUGGCGGCGUGCCUAAUACAUGCAAGUAGAACGCUGAGGGAGGAGCUUGCUUCUCUGGAUGAGUUGCGAACGGGUGAGUAACGCGUAGGUAACCUGCCUGGUAGCGGGGGAUAACUAUUGGAAACGAUAGCUAAUACCGCAUAAUAGUAGAUGUUGCAUGACAUUUGCUUAAAAGGUGCAAUUGCAUCACUACCAGAUGGACCUGCGUUGUAUUAGCUAGUUGGUGAGGUAACGGCUCACCAAGGCAACGAUACAUAGCCGACCUGAGAGGGUGAUGGGCCACACUGGGACUGAGACAGGGCCCAGACUCCAACGGGAGGCAGCAGAAGGGAAUCUGCGGCAAUGGACGGAAGUCUGACCGAGCAACGCCGGGUGAGUGAAGAAGGGUUUCGGAUCGGAAAGCUCUGUUGUAAGAGAAGAAAGAGUGUGAGAGUGGAAAGUUCACACUGUGACGGUAUCUUACCAGAAAGGGACGGCUAACUACGGG
rnacentral:rRNA from 1 species